rnacentral:rRNA from 1 species
CUCCUCAUCGUCCUCCUCGACCUGCUCCUCCCGCCCGCGCUCCUCUCCAACUUCCUCCGUGCCGGCGUCCACCACGCCUCCGCGCAGAGCCUCCUCGACCAGGCCAGGGGCUUCCACUUCCGCUCCUCGCUCGUCGACCUCCCCGCCAUCUCUGCCGCCCGCUCCCUCCUCAUCCUCUGCGCGUACACGGCAUGCGGGGGCGGUGCGGCCUACCUGUGGGUGGCGGCGGCCUGCAGCAUCGGCUCCCUCUUCUACGUCAAGGCCGUCACGGUCUUUGGCGUGGCCGCCGACGGUGCCGCCGGCCUCGAGCUGCAUGGCAAGGGCCAGCUCCUUGCCUUGGCCUACCGGGCCAGCAGCCGGGAGAAGCGCCGGCUGCAUGUCGUCUACAGGAUAAACAUCGAAGUAGUAAGUCCCUGCCCCUCGUCCCCUCCAUGCCCAUCUUCGUUCGCAUUAACCACCAUGGCCAUGGCCAGUUUUUCAGUAGCAGUCAGUGUCACACACGCCAAACCCAAAAUUGAUUUCACGUUAUAA